rnacentral:tRNA from 1 species
GCGGUUGUGGCUCAGUGGUAGAGUGCUUGCUUAGCAUGCAUGAGGAUCAGGGUUCAAUCCUCAGCACCACA